rnacentral:rRNA from 1 species
AUUGAACGCUGGCGGCAUGCUUUACACAUGCAAGUCGAACGGUAACAGGUCUUCGGAUGCUGACGAGUGGCGAACGGGUGAGUAAUGCAUCGGAACGUGCCCAGUCGUGGGGGAUAACGCAGCGAAAGCUGUGCUAAUACCGCAUACGAUCUAUGGAGUGAAAGACGGGGGAGUCGCAAGACCUCGCGCGAUUGGAGCGGCCGAUGUCAGAUUAGCUAGUUGGUGGGGUAAAGGGACCACCAAGGCGACGAUCUGUAGCUGGUCUGAGAGGACGGACCAGCCACACUGGGACUGAGACGCGGCCCAGACUCCUACGGGAGGCAGCAGUGGGGAA